GUAGGUUUUCAGGAUGUGAAAAUGGAAGGUUCAAGUUGAGCCACAAGUCAUUUUUGACCACCAUGGCAUUUUGGACUGUAGUCUACAGCCCCAUCCUUCAGGGAAAGGUCUUUAAGGCUUAAAGGGAAGCAUCAAUAUUUUACUUCCAGUAACGUAACAGCAACUGAAAACAUAAUGAGAAAAAGCCAAUAACCACUGCAAUUUAGGCUUCAUAAAUUGUUUAGCGCUGCUACAUUUUACGGGAUUCAAAUUUUAGGAACAGCUAGUGAAGCUUUACAUAUAUGCCCUGGGCAUCCUUCUAAAUGUUUGCAAAGAAAGGCUUCUGCACUUCUUACCAUUCUAAGCUAUGAAUAGGCUUCUUCAAGUAAUUGGAAAAUAAUAGUGAAAAUGAAGCCAAGGUAAUUGACAUUUCUGCUCCUUUUGUCUUAUUAAGAGAAAACUAAUUUUGUUCCAUGGAAAACCCAUUGAUAAACACCAAGUAUUUUCAAUUCAAUGUUGGGAUGGGUUAAAUUUUUAGAUAAUGGUGAACAAUUUUAAUACCCACUCCUGAGACUGAUUACCAUUGGGUAGCAAUGCAUCUUUAUAUAAGCUUGAGGCAUUGUAUUAAAAAAAAUGCCUAUCUAGAUUGAACAACUACUCAAUUUUUAAUAUUUAUUUAAUUUAUGAUAUAUCAUUUGUAAUUAUUUCUCUACUUACAACGUACAUAGCAUUGUAUCGAGCUACUCAAAACCGACACAUUGAUACUAAUGGACCUAUAGUAGUCCUGUUCUUAUUUUGAUAGUAGGUCUAGCUGAAUAGACUUAAUACUGGCUACAACCCAUAGUAUCUGUUUCAGUGGAGAGGUUUAUUCUGACUCUUAGGAUGCAUUUCCAAACCAUUUUAUUGGCUGGGGAACAAAUAUUUUUGUGCAUUAGCACAAUGAUACUUCAGAUUGCAGUCCAUCUUAAUAUCAGCUUUAUUGGUGGUGUGAUACAUUCUAUUAUUUGUGAUUACUUUUGAAAGUCAACACGUUAAUCUCAUUAGCUGUUCAUUGAUGAGUGGGUUCGGAUUGGAAAACUAGCACCUUGUCUAGGGAGCAAGACGCUGAUGAAAAAUAUUAAAGAUUACUGCAAAGAAAAUUGACUGUCUUUUAUAGUUAGAUUCAGUUCAGUUCCUAGUUGAAACGGGAUGGAAGAUAGAAAUUGAGCUGGACAGACAUCUUUAAAAUCAAUGGUUAUUUUUACAGAUUCUGAAGGAAGGAAAGUGGUAAAAUAUUUAGAAGAGUGUGCUAACUCACAUGGAAAAAACCCAACGUAAAUCAAAUUUGAACAAUGUAGCUUUGCUUUAAUCAUCACAGAUUUGUGGCAUUUGCCUAUUUAUUUCAGGUUCCUUUAAUGCUGCUUAAAGUUUUGACUAUUUCUGAGCUCACAGUGGAUAAAGUUUAGCACAGAGUUCAGGUUACUUUGCUGAAAUGCUUACUUCAUUGUUUCUUGGUGUUUUACUUCAAAACCCUAUGCAUAUUUACAUGGAAAAAAGCCUCACUGGGAUUACUCCCAGGUAAAUGAUUAUAGGAUUUCAGUUCCCAUUGCUCUUAUUUUUGUGCUCUGAUUGUACACCGUGGCUUUUACAUGAAUGGGAAUGUAGACCUGGCUCGUUACAUUGCAAUACAGUUCUAAAUGGGACCCACUCUUCAGAUAAUAAGCAGUCUAUAAAUGGAAAUCAUAAAAAGUAGAAUUAAUGAAUGAAUGGUGGUGCCCUGCUUUUCUAAUAGGCACUCUAAGUGGAUUGCAACGAAUAGUGCAUCAUAAUUCAAAUAGCUUUUCUGAGAUAAAUUGGGACUCUUCACUAUCCUCUGAUGAUGUAUGAUUGAUUGUAUGUUUUGUGAGUUUAAUGGUUCAGUGGUACUACUGUCAUUUUCAUUUAUUGCUAUUUCAGAAGGCAAAAACCAACAGGCCCCAUUUUUUUUGGCUGACUGGCACAAUGAGUAGAUUAAGGAUAGUGGCUAAAACUCUAGCAGAUGGGCUGAGCCUGGCUUCCACAACAGAAAAGGCUGAAAUUAGAUGCUGCAAAGACUGUAAGGAUGAAACAGUCUAGCACCUCCUCCCCCUCCCUUCCACAAUGUGAUAUGACAUCAUCUGCUUGCAACAUGACUACAUCAUUACAUUGAUAGUCUGUCCAGGCCUCCAAACAGCAGCCAAUAAAGUGGAGCAGAGAUGGAAAACUAACAACACAAUAAUGUAAAGUCCACUGUUAUGAGGUGUUGCGGGGAGAGAGAGAAGGAGGUAACAAGAUGGCUGCUGCGUGGGCACUAGUCACAUGAUCACUGAACCAUUUAAUUUCAGCCUGGGGCCAGGUUAUGAAGAUCAAAGUUCUUCUGCCAGGAUCCCUAUGAAACAUAUGCAACCAAUAUGGCUUUUGUACUGACCAGACCAGAAGAUGGGCUAGCCUUCUCCCUUAUGCCUCACACAAUGAUUCUGUUGUUGGAAUGCUGGUACCCACUUAUCAGUGUACCAUAUCACCUAUGUUUAUCUUUAGGACUGUGGUUAUCAGUCUUUCAACUGUAUUGUCUCUGACAAUAGCCAUUUAAAUCUGGCUUCUUUCAAAAUCCCUCUCCUGGCACUCUGAAGUGUCUUGAAUGUCCUUUCAGACACAUGGAUGCACUGAUUUAAAUAGUUUGAAAUGCCUCCUUUUCAAUUUAUAAUAUCUACCUGUGUCUUCUUCCUCUUCAGUUUCCAGGGUGAAAGCCUUCUUACCCUCCUCCCUAUUGUUUUUCACAAGUACUGAUUAGCAGGAAGUUUGUGCUGAGUAUAAUAAUUGGGGUAGAUGAGAUACUGAAGAAGUCAAGAAAAUGAACAGAAAAGCCAACGCUUUGCUACGCGAAUGACAGGGUGAAAUUAUGUCUUUAUGCUUCUCUUGUGACAGGCAGGCUAAAAGGUGAGCUAAUUUUGCAAUAUUCUGAGACACCUUUAUGGUAUUUUGCUGUAAAGACAGUUGUUCCUGUCAGACAAAAAAUAUGUUGUGAAUAUUCUGCACCACCACCACCUAUCCUUUAGAUGAAAAUUGCAGCUGCAACAUAUCCGGUGGCAGUUCCCCCCUUUCUUCCAUUUUUCUGUUGCCAUAGCAAUGCACGAGACACCAAAACUGCAUCAUCACACUUGCCUAGAGAAAUACUUUCACUGUAUUUAAUGGAAGUUUUUGCUUUAACUAAUCAGCACUCUAACUAAUCACCAUUCCUUACAUUUUC